rnacentral:rRNA from 1 species
UACAGAGGGUGCGAGCGUUAAUCGGAAUUACUGGGCGUAAAGCGCGCGUAGGCGGCUUUGCAAGUCGGGUGUGAAAUCCCCAGGCUUAACCUGGGAACUGCGUCCGAUACUGGUGGGCUUGAGGGAGGUAGGGUCUGUGGAACUUCUGGUGGAGCGGUGAAAUGCGUUGAUAUCAGAAGGAACGCCGGUGGCGAAAGCGACGGACUGGACCUCUUCUGACGCUGAGGCGCGAAAGCUAGGGGAGCAAACGGG